rnacentral:tRNA from 1 species
GGGCGUAGUUCAAUGGUAGAACGGAAGCCUUCCAAGCUUCACACGUGGGUUCGAUUCCCAUCGCCC